rnacentral:rRNA from 1 species
AUUAGUUAGUUGGUGAGGUAGCGGCUCACCAAGACGAUGAUGCGUAGCCGGACUGAGAGGUUGAACGGCCACAUUGGGACUGAGAGACGGCCCAAACUCCUACGGGAGGCAGCAGUAGGGAAUUUUCGGCAAUGGGGGAAACCCUGACCGAGCAACGCCGCGUGAAUGACGAAGUACUUCGGUAUGUAAAGUUCUUUUAUUGGGGAAGAAUGGUACGUGGAAAAACGUACGUGACGGUACCUAAUGAAUAAGCCCCGGCUAACUAUGUGCCAGCAGCCGCGGUAAUACAUAGGGGGCAAGCGUUAUCCGGAAUUAUUGGGCGUAAAGGGUGCGUAGGUGGCCAUUUAAGUCUUUGGUGUAAGUGCAGUGCUCAACGCUGUGAUGCUAAAGAAACUGGGUGGCUUGAGUGUGGUAGAGGCAAGUGGAAUUCCAUGUGUAGCGGUAAAAUGCGUAAAUAUAUGGAGGAACACCAGUGGCGAAGGCGGCUUGCUGGGCCAUAACUGACACUGAGGCACGAAAGCGUGGGGAGCAAACAGGAUUAGAUACCCUGGUAGUCCACGCCGUAAAC